rnacentral:rRNA from 1 species
UACGUAGGGUGCAAGCGUUAAUCGGAAUUACUGGGCGUAAAGCGUGCGCAGGCGGUUUUGUAAGUCUGUCGUGAAAUCCCCGGGCUCAACCUGGGAAUUGCGAUGGAGACUGCAAGGCUAGAAUCUGGCAGAGGGGGGUAGAAUUCCACGUGUAGCAGUGAAAUGCGUAGAGAUGUGGAGGAACACCGAUGGCGAAGGCAGCCCCCUGGGUCAAGAUUGA